GAUGUGUGGUUUCCCUUCAGAUCACAUAAAUCUUUUGCCUUUGCCUUUUACUAAAGAUUUCCAUGGAGAAGAACAUUUAUAAAUCACAAGGACACAUGG
rnacentral:snRNA from 1 species